rnacentral:lncRNA from 11 species
GCCUAAAAACAAUGUAAAAACAACAGUUCAUAUAAAACGAUCUACAAAACAACAGUUCAUAUAAAACAGAUACCAUUACAAAAUAAAAUCACAUUAUAUAAAAUUUUAAGUAUGUCCAAGAUUAAAAUCCAUUCAUCCAGAAUCCUACUAAAAAGAAACCCUCAAAAGUUGAUCUAUCUUUUAUAUUAUUGUCCAUUAUUUUCAAACCUAAUAAUCCUGUCUUUCUGAAUCAUCUUCUUGUAUUUGAUCUUAGUUUAAUUGCUUGUCUUUUCUUUUCAGCAUUUAUACCUCGCCCUUCUCGCCCUGAAGGGGACUCAAAGCAGCUUUACAGAACACACACACAUGGCAAACACUCAGUGCCUGAUUAUACAAUCAACAAGGACAGACAACACAGACAGAGACCCAUAACCCGGACGCUUCCCUGAGCAGAGAAGGCCUUCGUGCAGAGGAGGAGAGAGGCCCCAGGGAGGGAGUGGCGGAGGCCCUGCAGGAGAAGCUCCAGGCCGGAGCGGAGGAGGAGGAGGAGGACCAGCAGGUGCAGGAAGGUGAGGUGGGCUUGGGAGUGGAAUGGGUAUGUUUAGCUUUGAGGGAAAGACAGGCCGAGGGGACGGGAGAGCCAAUAUGUGGAAGGAUGUCUCAUUGAGGAGAAAAGGGCAAGUAUUUCCUACUUCUCUGGAGACUGAAAUACAAAGCCAUUGAUUCGC